UCCUAGUACGAGAGGACCGGAGUGGACGCAUCACUGGUGUUCGGGUUGUCAUGCCAAUGGCACUGCCCGGUAGCUAAAUGCGGAAGAGAUAAGUGCUGAAAGCAUCUAAGCACGAAACUUGCCCCGAGAUGAGUUCUCCCUGACCCUUUAAGGGUCCUGAAGGAACGUUGAAGACGACGACGUUGAUAGGCCGGGUGUGUAAGCGCAGCGAUGCGUUGAGCUAACCGGUACUAAUGAACCGUGAGGCUUAACCUUACAACGCCGAAGGUGUUU
rnacentral:rRNA from 1 species